rnacentral:misc_RNA from 1 species
GUUGAGUUGAGUUGAGUUGUAUUUCCUUCCAAAUGUUGUGCCACGAUACAAAGUCUAGAUCACUUAAACAGCAAGUUAUAAAUUCCCAAAAAUUAUCUGCUCCCUAGAUGAACAUUAUGGGUCAGGAUUAGACCUGUUCAAUGAUGAGGCUCAAAUUGGGCCCAAGACUGGCCCAUAUAUAUACUGUGGAUUAAAUAAAGGUAACCUAAUUUGAAGGAAUAUACAAGCUUUGUGUUUAUUUGGUUUUCUGUAAGACCCGUACACCAUCUUUGUUUUGAAUUCUCUCUCAAUUCCAAUUGUGAGAGACUGAAAAUAUUAUCUUCUCUGCAGUGAUUUUACAUCAACUAUGUCAUU